rnacentral:lncRNA from 1 species
GGGAUAUUGGUGUUAUUUUACAAAGAGAGGGACUGAGACCCAGGGAGGCUGAAUGACGCGCCAGCUUGAGGCCAGUCCCAGUAGAGAAAUCAGGUUUCUUUUGUGAGUAUGGGGCUUUCUAAAACAAUGGUCUCUGUUCUUAAGAUGAGGAGAGUAUCUGUGUGUCUGCCCCGUGACUGUGACCAGGAGAUACCCAGCCUGGCCCUGAGUUGUUACAGUGUCAUGCAUAUAGGUCACACUGACCUAAGCUCCAAGGAGACUAAAGGGUUUCAUCUUUGUCCUCCUCCUUCUCACUUCCUCCUCAUGCCCUGGAGUAGCCUGCCGGGGCUUCUCUUCCUUGUUCCCAGGGCCAGAUGUCAGAGGCCAUGGACCAGCCAGCUGGGGGUCCUGGAAACCCAAGGCCAGGAGAGGGUGAUGAUGGCAGCAUGGAGCCAGGCACCUGCCAGGAGCUUCUGCACCGACUGCGGGAGCUGGAGGCAGAGAACUCGGCACUUGCCCAGGCCAACGAAAACCAGCGGGAGACUUAUGAGCGCUGUCUGGACGAGGUUGCCAACCACGUGGUACAGGCGUUGCUGAACCAGAAGGUGAGUAACCCAGACACCCUGGGGAGAAGCCCUGGGCACAGCAGAUGAGACCCUUCCUGGAGACUAAGGGCUUGGAGGACAUGGGCUGUUGCCCUCCGGUGAUUCCCCGUCUUUCCGCCUUGGGCGGGUCCAUUCUGUUCUACCUAGAGACAGAGGUGGGACUAGGUAAGGCCAGGUCUCUGAGCAGUGGUCACUGAUUUGAGCAUGACUCCUUCCCUUACCCUGUCCCCAGCUGGCUUUUCCAGGUUGUGAUAGCCCUUAAAGCAGUGUUGAUGUUGUGAACCUAAAUGGCAUCUGAAUAUUUACUCACCUAUGGUGGAUAACUUCUUGACAUCGGGGCCACUUUGACUCCAAGGCCUUGCUCUGUCUUAUAUAGGCCCUUUUUUGAUGUGUGGUUUCUAAGAGGCAGAGGGCCAGGCACGGUGGCUCACGCCUGCAAUCCCAGCACUUUGGGAGGCCAAGGUGGGCAGAUCACGAGGUCAAGAGAUCAAGACUAUCCUGGCCAACAUGGUGAAACCCCGUCUCUACUAAAAAUAAAAAAAUUAGCUGGGCAUGGUGGUGCACUCCUGUAGUCCCAGCUACUAGGAAGGCUGAGGCAGGAGAAUCGCUUGAACCCAGGUUGUGGAGGUUGUAGUGAGCCGCGAUUGCACCACUGCACUCCAGCCUGGCGACAAAGCAAGACUCCGUCUCAAAAAAAAAGAAAAAAAGAGGCGGGGGGUCGAUUCUAGGGAUGAGAAAGAUAACAAAGAGAAUAGGAUUUACCUCCCACCAGGGUGAUAAACUUUAGAGAAUUUACCAUCCCUAGAAGAUGCUAUAGCUACCAACAUCGGCAGGCUUAGAUUCCUCAUAGAAGGAGGUUGCAGCGGAAGGGUGUGCCCAGAAGGGUCCUGGGGCCUCCAGACAGAUGCCGCUGCUCUGAUGAAGAGCACUGUGACACUCUCCCACCAUCCUCACCUCUUCUUCCUGCACCUCCCGGGGUGGGCGGCAGGACCUGCGAGAGGAGUGCAUCAAGCUGAAGAAGAGAGUGUUUGACCUGGAACGGCAGAACCAGAUGCUGAGUGCCCUGUUUCAGCAGAAACUCCAGCUCACAACAGGCUCACUUCCUCAGAUCCCACUCACUCCACUCCAGCCACCAUCAGAGCCACCAGCCUCCCCCUCCCUGAGCUCCACUGAGGGACCGGCUGCCCCACUGCCUCUGGGGCACUGUGCUGGGCAGAGAGAGGUAUGUUGGGAGCAGCAGCUGAGGCCAGGAGGCCCAGGCCCCCCAGCCGCCCCACCCCCAGCGCUGGAUGCCCUAUCCCCAUUCCUUCGGAAGAAGGCCCAGAUUCUGGAGGUGCUGAGAGCCCUGGAAGAGACUGACCCCUUGCUUCUCUGCUCACCUGCCACCCCCUGGCAGCCUCCAGGCCAGGGGCCUGGCUCCCCAGAGCCCAUCAACGGCGAGCUGUGUGGCCCGCCUCAGCCUGAACCCUCACCCUGGGCGCCCUGCCUGCUGCUAGGCCCUGGCAACCUGGGAGGCCUGCUGCACUGGGAGCGCCUCUUGGGGGGUCUGAGAGGGGAAGAGGACAC